rnacentral:rRNA from 1 species
ACUUGUAUGAAUGGUUGGACGAAAUAAAGGCUGUCUUUAUUUAAAUUAUAGUAGAAUUUAACUUUUAAGUCAAAAGGCUUAAAUGUUUAUAAAAGACGAGAAGACCCUAUAGAUCUUUAUUUAAUUGAGGCUUUAUUAGCUUAGGAUUAUUUUGAUUUAAAGUUUUAAUUAAAUUUUAUUGGGGUAAUAUAAAGAUUAAAAAAAUUCUUUUAAUUUAUUACAUUAAUUUAUGAAUACAUGAUCCAAUAAUAUUGAUUAUAAGAUUAAGUUACCUUAGGGAUAACAGCGUAAUUUUUUUGGAGAGCUCAUAUCGAUAAAAAAGUUUGCGACCUCGAUGUUGGAUUAAAAAUUAUUUUGGGUGC